rnacentral:misc_RNA from 1 species
CAAACCUUCAAGCUCACGCUUGGUAUUGGGCCUCGUCCUCUCCCCGGACGUGCCAGAAACGUGUAGGCAGCGGUGCCCGUCUCCCCAGCGUAGUCAUUUUUCUACCCGCUCCGGAGCUCAGGCGCAGCCCGCCGGACAACCCCCCCACUAUUUCUAUGG